GUAAAUUCUCUGAACGGGAAAAUUGAAAAAAAAAAAAUUUGUUGGCAGGUUUCAGACAUGAUUAGUGUUUUGUAUUCGCUUGUGUUUGCUCAAAUGGCUCUGAUUCUAGCCCUUUUGUUUAGAACCCCUCUAAGAAACCUGUUGAUUGUAGGAAUCGACCAUUUGAAGCGAGGAGAGGGUCCAUUGGUGGCAAAAACUGUGGUAGCUACCUUGCUUGUGGUGUUUUAGUGCUAUCUUAUAUAGUGUAAUGGAAAUUCACAAACGUGCUCUGGAGUCUGGUGUGGUUAAUUCAACUGAUGAGGUUCUCAUGGCAGAAAAACUCUUGGAAGCAUCUCCAAUGGGUAAUUAACAUGUCUAAUCUAUCAUAUAUUGGCGCUUAAUUUCUGUGUUUUGGGUUUCUGAAUUUCUGGAUCCAAAUUUUCAAGCUUGAGAGGAGCUUUUGAACCUAUAGUAUAUCAAUCAAUCAUGUGCUGUUUUAUUGCUGGGAAAAAAAUUUUUAAUUGUUUCAUUUCUUUAAAUGUUGUUUGCAUAUAUAGUUAGGAAUCUAGAAAGCUGUAAGAUGUGAGGAAUUUUCUGUUACCCAGCAGGUGACUUAGAAAGAUUUUCUCUUGAGCAAACUCUCCCUACCUACCACUUGCAUAAAAUCUCAGCAUUUUCAGGACAUAUAUUAAAUCUUUUGUUUCCCCCUCAAUAAGAAGUUACAACGACCGACUUGCUGAUUAUUUCAUAGGGUUCUCUCUAUUCCUUGCAAUGAUGACAGAUAGGCUACAUUAUUGUAUCAAAGAACUUUAUCUUGUCAGGAAGGAGCUGGAAGAGGUGCAAAAAUUAAAAGUGGAUUAUGGAAGAAGAAAAAUCGGACAAUGGAGGAGAAUGAAGGAACAGAAAGUUAAAAGAGUCGGAAAAUGUCUCCAAAAGAAAUGCAAGGACUCCAUUGUAUGCUUGAUGAAAAAUCAUAGUGGUUUAAAAGAUAGAAGAAUGUGGCCUCUCUCUCUCUCUCUCUGAGUGUCAUAGUUGCAGGAAAUAUGUAUCUUUACAUUGAUAAAUAGAAAUUGUAUGUGAGAACAUGCCAUGCCAGAGAUCACAAUAACACCAACAAUUCCCAG
rnacentral:misc_RNA from 1 species